rnacentral:tRNA from 1 species
GCGCCGGUGACGGACGGUGGGUCGCGGUCGGACGCUCACGUCGUUCCGCGGCACCAACGGGCUGCGGGGCGGCGGUCUCCGCGGCGUCGGCGCC